rnacentral:rRNA from 1 species
AACGAACGUUAGCGGCGCGCCUAAUACAUGCAAGUCGAGCGAGAAAGGGCUUCGGCCCCGGUACAGCGGCGCACGGGUGAGUAACACGUAGGUAAUCUUCCCUCGAGUGGUGGAUAACCCUCCGAAAGGAGAGCUAAUACAGCAUAAGACCACGGCCUUGAUUAGGCUGCGGUCAAAGCAGGCCACUACAUGUAAGCUUGCGCUUGAGGAUGAGCCUGCGUGCCCAUCAGCUAGGUGGUAGGGUAAUGGCCUACCAAGGCAUAGACGGGUAGCUGGUCUGAGAGGAUGAACAGCCACACUGGAACUGAGACACGGUCCAGACUCCUACGGGAGGCAGCAGUAGGGAAUCUUGCGCAAUGGGCGAAAGCCUGACGCAGCGACGCCGCGUGAGCGAUGAAGGCCUUCGGGUUGUGAAGCUCUGUGGGGAGAGAAGAAUAAGUGUUGGCUAAUAUCCAGCAUGAUGACGGUAUCUCCUUAGCAAGCACCGGCUAACUCUGUGCCAGCCGCCGCCGUAA